UUUUGGCCUGCAAAGACUUCCUUCUCUCGCCUGCACUACCCAACUCCUGUGAGGAAGUCAGGCAUAGUUCGAGCAGAGGCAGAAAGAGCGAGCGCGCGAAGAACUUCGGUAUCGAGGUUGCUAAGGCUUCUCCUCAUGUGCUUCAAGAGAAAGUAGCCUUUAACUGUGGAAAGGACACCAGGAGGACUGGGGAAGGGGUGAGCAGUGGUAAAAAUGAGCGUGAGGCGGAUAAACCGACUGCCCGCCCCCGCGGAGAGCGGCCUUCUGGGACUUGUAGUGCGCGAGGGCCCCGGAGCCGGCCGGCUGCGCAGCCUCGGCCGUUGCGCUGGCCCCACCCCGGCGGGCGGAGUAACGGUUUGGAAUCCCCCGGGGUCAGCGAGCGCUUGGGUCCUCCGCCUGGUGUAGAAAAAGUGUAAACACAUGCGCUUCGGCAGGCGUCCUCCAGUGGGAGGUUGCUCAGGGGAUGGCGGAGCUGUGAAACUCGCAGCUAAAAGGAAAGUCUCAACGCUUAUUGUCUAAAUUUUGCUUUGUUGUGACCAGCUACCUAAACCCACGCAGAUGUGACUUGGGAGAGCGCUUGUGACGCUACGAACCUCUUGAACACCUGAGGACUGGGCGCCAGGGCCUGAUGGAGGGUGGAGAGCCAGUGCGGCGCAGCUGCCUCCUCUCACGGGGACACCUAGUAGGAAUAUGCAGAGUGGAGCUAAAGGGAGCAGAUAGAAACCGAGAGAGGGGAAGAGCGCGCGAAGGCUUGGCCGGAAGGAGAGGUUAAAAAGGAAAGGCCUAAAAUGAGGAAGAGAGUUACCGCAACAGGCAGUACCUAGUUCCAGUUCUUGGUCCCAGGAGUUUGUGGUUGCUGCUGCUUUCAUCUUCCUCAGCCAAAACAAAAGGAAAGUGCCAAGGGGCGAUUCCUAGGACCUUCAGUGCAGUCUCCACCUCGCGGACUUGGCUCAUUUGUGCCCACUCCUUUCUCCCACGUUUUACACUUGAUGCUCUUGGAUGAAUAGAAAGGAGCACAAUUAAGGGAAAACACAAGCUUGGGAGUCAAGGGAUUUGGGUUCUAUUCUCGUUGUCCCUUGGUGACGACAUCAUUACCUUGGGUUAUUCAAGCUUUCAGUGCCAGAGUUCCUAUAUCAAUAAAAGAUUAUUACAUUGACCUCUUAGAGAAAUGUUUUCAUGGUACUGAAUUGCAAAUAAAGUAUGUGUAGCAAUGUGUUA